rnacentral:rRNA from 1 species
AUUGAACGCUGGCGGAAUGCUUUACACAUGCAAGUCGAGCGGCAGCGCGGCCUUCGGGCUGGCGGCGAGCGGCGAACGGGUGAGUAAUGCAUCGGAACAUGCCCAGUCGUGGGGGAUAACACUUCGAAAGAAGUGCUAAUACCGCAUACGUCCUGAGGGGGAAAGCGGGGGAUCGCAAGACCUCGCGCGAUUGGAGUGGCCGAUGUCAGAUUAGCUAGUUGGUGGGGUAAAGGCCUACCAAGGCGACGAUCUGUAGCUGGUCUGAGAGGAUGAUCAGCCACACUGGGACUGAGACACGGCCCAGACUCCUACGGGAGGCAGCAGUGGGGAAUUUUGGACAAUGGGGGCAACCCUGAUCCAGCCAUUCCGCGUGAGCGAAGAAGGCCUUCGGGUUGUAAAGCUCUUUCGGCAGGAACGAAACGGUGGGCUCUAACAUAGUCCACUAAUGACGGUACCUGAAGAAGAAGCACCGGCUAACUACGUG